GUAGGUGGCAAGCGUUGUCCGGAAUUAUUGGGGCGUAAAGCGCGCGCAGGCGGUUCUUUAAGUCUGAUGUGAAAGCCCACGGGCUCAACCGUGGAGGGUCAUUGGAAACUGGAGAACUUGAGUACAGAAGAGGAAAGCGGAAUUCCACGUGUAGCGGUGAAAUGCGUAGAGAUGUGGAGGAACACCAGUGGCGAAGGCGGCUUUCUGGUCUGUAACUGACGCUGAGGCGCGAAAGCGUGGGGAGCAAACAGGAUUAGAUACCCUGGUAGUCUACGCCGUAAACGAUGAGUGCUAAGUGUUAGGGGGUUUCCGCCCCUUAGUGCUGCAGCUAACGCAUUAAGCACUCCGCCUGGGGAGUACGGCCGCAAAGGCUG
rnacentral:rRNA from 1 species